UUAAGUAGAAAAGAGCAUAGGGUGAAUGCCUUGGCACCAAGCGCCGAAGAAGGACGCGGUCAGCUGCGAAAAGCCACGGGGAGCCGCAAGCAGGCAGAGAUCCGUGGGUAUCCGAAUGGGGAAACCCGAUUGCGGCAAUGCGCAAUCACCGCACACUGAACAAAUAGGUGUGGCGGAGGGAACCCGGUGAACUGAAACAUCUAAGUAACCGGAGGAAAAGAAAGAGAUAUCGAUUUCCUAAGUAGCGGCGAGCGAACGGGAAGGAGCCCAAACCCAUGGUCUACGGACUAUGGGGGUAGAGGACCGGCGGUAAGGGCUUGCGGGAAGAUUCGAAGACGUAUGGAACUACGCACCGAAGAGGGUAAAAGUCCCGUAGGAGAAAGCGAAGCGAGCCUAGCCGGGAUCCGGAGUACCACAGGACACGAGUAAUCCGGUGGGAAGCAGGGGGGCCCACCCCCCAAGGCUAAAUACGACUUGGUGACCGAUAGUGGACUAGUACCGUGAGGGAAAGGUGAAAAGCACCCCGGGAGGGGAGUGAAAGAGAACCUGAAACCCUAUGUUUACAAGCACAGGGAGCACGUUUAGUGUGCGACCUGGUACUUUUUGUAGAACGGACCGGCGAGUUGCGUAAUGCAGCGAGGUUAAGGUAUGAAGUACCGGAGCCGAAGCGAAAGCGAGUCUGAAGAGGGCGCGAGUUGCAGUACGCAGACCCGAAACCGGGUGACCUAUCCAUGGACAGGUUGAAGCGAGGGUAAAACCUCGUGGAGGACCGAACCACACUGCUGUUGAAAAAGUAGGGGAUGAGCUGUGGAUAGCGGAGAAAUUCCAAUCGAACCCGGAGAUAGCUGGUUCUCUCCGAAAUAGCUUUAGGGCUAGCCUUGUUAUUAAGGAAUCCGGGAGGUAGAGCACUGAAUGGGCUAGGGGGUCACAAGCUUACCGAACCCUAUCAAACUGCGAAUGCCCGAGAUUUAACGAACAGGAGUCAGACUAUGAGAGAUAAGUCCCAUAGUCGAGAGGGGAACAGCCCAGACCGACGGCUAAGGUCCCGAAGUAUGAGUUAAGUGGAAAAGGAUGUGUCAGUGCGAAGACAACCAGGAUGUUGGCUUAGAAGCAGCCAUACAUUGAAAGAGUGCGUAACAGCUCACUGGUCGAGUGCUGGUGCGCCGAAGAUGUCCGGGGCUAAAACUCAACACCGAAGCCACGGGUUCAGCGCAAGCUGAGCGGUAGGAGAGCGAUGCAUUGUAGGCAGAAGCGUGACCGAAAGGACACGUGGACGAUAUGCAAGAGAGAAUGCCGGUAUAAGUAGCGAGAGUCAAGUGAGAAUCUUGACCGUCGAAAGCCAAAGGUUUCCUGGGGAAGGUUCGUCCGCCCAGGGUAAGUCGGGACCUAAGCCGAGGGCGGAAGCCGUAGGCGAUGGACAAUCGGUAGAGAUUCCGAUACCACCGACGUUUGCAUGAACGAAGCAAUGACACAGAAGGGGAACCGAACCGGGCAGAUGGAAAUGUCCGGCCAAGCGUCGAGGCUUAAUGGCAGUGAAGCACGCCAUUAGUGAAGGCUGAGGCGUGAAGGGGAGUGAAAUUAGAGUAACGAAGUCGGGGUACUCACGCUGGCGAGAAAAGUUGCUAGUGAGAACGUAGGUGCCCGUACCGCAAACCGACACAGGUAGGCGAGGAGAGGAUCCUAAGACGACCGGGAUAACCCUUGUUAAGGAACUCGGCAAAAUGACCCCGUAACUUAGGGAGAAGGGGUGCCUAUAGGGAUAUAGGCUGCAGUGAAAAGGCCCAAGCGACUGUUUAGCAAAAACACAGGUUUCUGCGAAGUGGAGACACGACGUAUAGGGGCUGACGCCUGCCCGGUGCUGGAAGGUUAAGGGGAAGUGUUAGGGGCAACCCGAAGCAGAGAACCGAAGCCCCAGUAAACGGCGGCCGUAACUAUAACGGUCCUAAGGUAGCGAAAUUCCUUGUCAGGUAAGUUCUGACCCGCACGAAUGGCGUAACGAUUUGGGCGCUGUCUCAACAGGGGGCCCGGCGAAAUUGAAGUAUGUGUGAAGAUGCACAUUACCCGCGACUGGACGGAAAGACCCCGUAGAGCUUUACUGCAACCUGAUAUUGGAUUUUGGUGACUAAUGUACAGGAUAGGUGGGAGACUGAGAAGCAUUCACGCCAGUGGAUGCGGAGUCGGCGUUGGGAUACCACUCUUUGGUUACCGGAAUUCUAACCUACUGCCGUUAUCCGGGGUGGGGACAGUGUCAGGCGGGCAGUUUGACUGGGGCGGUCGCCUCCAAAAGGGUAACGGAGGCGCCCAAAGGUUCCCUCAGAAUGGUUGGAAACCAUUCGAAGAGUGUAAAGGCAGAAGGGAGCUUGACUGCGAGACUGACAAGUCGAGCAGGUACGAAAGUAGGGCUUAGUGAUCCGGCGGCAGAGAGUGGAAUUGCCGUCGCUCAACGGAUAAAAGCUACCUCGGGGAUAACAGGCUGAUCUCCCCCAAGAGUUCACAUCGACGGGGAGGUUUGGCACCUCGAUGUCGGCUCGUCGCAUCCUGGUGCUGGAGUAGGUACCAAGGGUUUGGCUGUUCGCCAAUUAAAGCGGCACGCGAGCUGGGUUCAGAACGUCGUGAGACAGUUCGGUCCCUAUCCAUCGUGGGCGCAGGAUAUUUGAGAGGAGCUGUUCCUAGUACGAGAGGACCGGAAUGGACGCACCUCUGGUGAACCGGUUGUCGCGCCAGCGGCACGGCCGGGUAGCGAAGUGCGGAAGGGAUAAACGCUGAAGGCAUCUAAGCGUGAAGCCCCCCUCAAGAAGGGAUAUCCCGACCUCGGAAGAGGAGUAAGGCCACCGCGAGACCAGCGGGUUGAUAGGUCGGGGGUGUAAGUGCAGCAAUGCAUUUAGCUGACCGAUACUAAUAGGCCGAGGACUUAAUCU
rnacentral:rRNA from 1 species